GCCCGGGUGGCGGAAUGGCAGACGCGGCGGACUCAAAAUCCGCUGUCCGAAAGGGCGUGUGGGUUCAAAUCCCACCCCGGGCA
rnacentral:tRNA from 2 species